AACGAACGCUGGCGGCAUGCCUAACACAUGCAAGUCGAACGAGACCUUCGGGUCUAGUUGCGCACGGGUGCGUAACGCGUGGGAACCUGCCCUUAGGUUCGGAAUAACUCCCCGAAAGGGGUGCUAAUACCGGAUAAUGUCUUCGGACCAAAGAUUUAUGGCCUUUGGAUGGGCCCGCGUUGGAUUAGCUAGUUGGUAGGGUAAAAGCCUACCAAGGCGACGAUCCAUAGCUGGUCUGAGAGGAUGAUCAGCCACACUGGGACUGAGACACGGCCCAGACUCCUACGGGAGGCAGCAGUGGGGAAUAUUGGACAAUGGGCGAAAGCCUGAUCCAGCAAUGCCGCGUGAGUGAUGAAGGCCUUAGGGUUGUAAAGCUCUUUUACCCGGGAUGAUAAUGACAGUACCGGGAGAAUAAGCUCCGGCUAACUCCGUG
rnacentral:rRNA from 1 species